rnacentral:rRNA from 1 species
AGAGUUUGAUCAUGGCUCAGAUUGAACGCUGGCGGCAGGCCUAACACAUGCAAGUCGAACGGUAACAGGAAUCAGCUUGCUGAUUCGCUGACGAGUGGCGGACGGGUGAGUAAUGUCUGGGAAACUGCCUGAUGGAGGGGGAUAACUACUGGAAACGGUAGCUAAUACCGCAUAAUGUCGCAAGACCAAAGAGGGGGACCUUCGGGCCUCUUGCCAUCGGAUGUGCCCAGAUGGGAUUAGCUUGUUGGUGGGGUAACGGCUCACCAAGGCGACGAUCCCUAGCUGGUCUGAGAGGAUGACCAGCCACACUGGAACUGAGACACGGUCCAGACUCCUACGGGAGGCAGCAGUGGGGAAUAUUGCACAAUGGGCGCAAGCCUGAUGCAGCCAUGCCGCGUGUAUGAAGAAGGCCUUCGGGUUGUAAAGUACUUUCAGCGGGGAGGAAGGGAGUAAAGUUAAUACCUUUGCUCAUUGACGUUACCCGCAGAAGAAGCACCGGCUAACUCCGUGCCAGCAGCCGCGGUAAUACGGAGGGUGCAAGCGUUAAUCGGAAUUACUGGGCGUAAAGCGCACGCAGGCGGUUUGUUAAGUCAGAUGUGAAAUCCCCGGGCUCAACCUGGGAACUGCAUCUGAUACUGGCAAGCUUGAGUCUCGUAGAGGGGGUAGAAUUCCAGGUGUAGCGGUGAAAUGCGUAGAGAUCUGGAGGAAUACCGGUGGCGAAGGCGGCCCCCUGGACGAAGACUGACGCUCAGGUGCGAAAGCGUGGGGAGCAAACAGGAUUAGAUACCCUGGUAGUCCACGCCGUAAACGAUGUCGACUUGGAGGUUGUGCCCUUGAGGCGUGGCUUCCGGAGCUAACGCGUUAAGUCGACCGCCUGGGGAGUACGGCCGCAAGGUUAAAACUCAAAUGAAUUGACGGGGGCCCGCACAAGCGGUGGAGCAUGUGGUUUAAUUCGAUGCAACGCGAAGAACCUUACCUGGUCUUGACAUCCACGGAAGUUUUCAGAGAUGAGAAUGUGCCUUCGGGAACCGUGAGACAGGUGCUGCAUGGCUGUCGUCAGCUCGUGUUGUGAAAUGUUGGGUUAAGUCCCGCAACGAGCGCAACCCUUAUCCUUUGUUGCCAGCGGUCCGGCCGGGAACUCAAAGGAGACUGCCAGUGAUAAACUGGAGGAAGGUGGGGACGACGUCAAGUCAUCAUGGCCCUUACGACCAGGGCUACACACGUGCUACAAUGGCGCAUACAAAGAGAAGCGACCUCUCGAGAGCAAGCGGACCUCAUAAAGUGCGUCGUAGUCCGGAUGGGAGUCUGCAACUCGACUCCAUGAAGUCGGAAUCGCUAGUAAUCGUGGAUCAGAAUGCCACGGUGAAUACGUUCCCGGGCCUUGUACACACCGCCCGUCACACCAUGGGAGUGGGUUGCAAAAGAAGUAGGUAGCUUAACCUUCGGGAGGGCGCUUACCACUUUGUGAUUCAUGACUGGGGUGAAGUCGUAACAAGGUAACCGUAGGGGAACCUGCGGUUGGAUCACCU